rnacentral:rRNA from 1 species
UGCCAGCCGCCGCGGUAAUACCGGCAGCCCAAGUGAUGACCGAUCUUAUUGGGCCUAAAGCGUCCGUAGCUGGCCGCGCAAGUCCAUCGGGAAAUCCACCUGCCCAACAGGUGGGCGCCCGGUGGAAACUGUGCGGCUUGGGACCGGAAGGCGCGACGGGUACGUCCGGGGUAGGAGUGAAAUCCCGUAAUCCUAGACGGACCGCCGAUGGCGAAAGCACGUCGCGAGAACGGAUCCGACAGUGAGGGACGAAAGCCAGGGUCUCGAACCGGAUUAGAUA